rnacentral:rRNA from 1 species
UGGUAGUUCCUGCGGUACACGAGGAGUUCCAAUUGUUUGGAGGUCUCCCCAUAUCAGCAGUGCAGGUAACGCAUUAAGCACUCAGCCGGGGGAGUACGCAUCCAAGGUUGAAACUCACAGGAACUGACGGGGGGCCGCACAAAUCGGUGGAGCAUGUGGUUUAAUUCGAAGCAACGCGAAGACCGGCACCAAGUCUUGACAUAUAGUGCCAUUGGUAGAGAUACAAAGUUCCCCUGGGGGACGCUAAGACAGGUGGUGCAUGCAACUGAUCAGCUCGUGUCGUGAGAUGUUGGGUUAAGUCCGGCAACGAGCAUCACCCUUGUUUCCAGUUGCCAACAUUAAGUUGGGCACUCUAAUGAGGGAGCCGGGGACAAACCUCAGGAAGGUGGGGACCGAUCAAGUCAUCACUCCCCUAUGCAUCAUGGCUACACUAAGCCUUCAAUGGGCAGUACAACGAGAAGCGAGCGGGCGAAGGCAAGAGAAUCUCUGAAAGCUGCCUCAGUUAGGAGAUCAGUCUGCAACUUGUCUGCUCGAAGCUGGAAUCGUUAGUAAUCGCGGAUUACCAGGCCGCGGGGCAGGUUUUCCCGGUCCUUGUCCACCCUCCCCGUCUCGCCAUGGGAGUGUCCAAAGCCCAAA